ensembl:lncRNA
CACCCCCGGCCGGGCGCCCGCGCUCUCCCGCCCCCCGCGGGCCCUGGGGGCCGCUCGCAGGGUGUUCGCUGGCGCCCGGAUGUCUGAGCUCUGGCUCCACUCUGGCUCCGGCUCCCUCCGCAGCCUGCGGGGGGGGCUCGCAGCCCAUCCGGAGCCUCGCGGCGCCCCCGCCGCUUCUGCCAGCAGCGCGGCCUGCAGCUCUCAACCUCCCGGCCUGGAUCCAUCUGCAUAGACAAGAACAGCAAGAUGUAGUUCAAAAGAAGCUGUUAGGAGUGCUCCCACCUACGACAACAGUCUGGAAGGGAGGGGUAUCUUCUAUCUCAGUCAUAAGCUGUUACAAGUCCUAACAAAAGUUAAUGUGGAGUGACCACUGUGUUUGCCAUCUGCCUUGCUUCUGGACCUUUUGCACAGCUUGGGGACACAGCUGGGCACUAGCCUGUGAGCCCCUGAAUACCAUUCCCCGCACCUUCAAGCAAAAAAGAAAAGAUUUUUUUUUUUACUUAGGACUUUGGGAAUAGGAAGUCAGCUCUGUUAGGAAAGAGCCUAAAGACAAGCAUGAGGACCCGAGAAAUCUGGGUGCAGGAGCACAUGUCUAUAAUCCCAGUCCUGGGGAGCGAGACAGGAGGAUCCCCAGAGUUACUGACAAGCCAUUCUAGCUGAAUCUGUGAGCUCCAGGUUCAGUGAGAAGCCCUGUCUCAAAAUAUAAGGAGAAGAAGAACGAUGGAAGAAGACACCCAGCAUCAACCUGUGGGCUCUUUACAUAAGGCACCUGUACACACCUGUGUACCCACAUAUAUAGACAUAACCCCCAAACUUUAUACCACUCCCAUACUUCCAACACACUGUCCCAGCCUGCAACAGCUCUCCUUGUGAGAGUCUGGGAAGCUGACAUAGCUGGCUGGAAUCCUAGCUUUGUCAUUUAUCAGCUAUGCCACCACAGCAUUAGGGAGUGGAGACAGGAAGAUAUGGCUGGAUGGAAGGAGGAACAAAAGGAGGAAGAGACAGGAAUUCAGAGCCUUUGCUUCUGAGGAUUCAUGGAAACAGGAUUGCCAUUUCAUCUGGGUAGAGGGUCAAACAACGAAGAAAAAGCGCAAUAAAGUCAGCCACCAUAGACACAGUGACAGUGCAGAUUUUCGGCACGUGACUGCCCUCUUGUGACCAGAUGCUGCAACUGUCAGCUAUCGCCCUGGAGGAGAGAAACGUCUUCCUGGCUACGAAUCUACUGUGUUCCAGAUUCCCGUGCGUCUCAGAUCUAAUCCUCAUCCUGUGGGAUGGGCGUUCUUAUUCUAUUUACGCAUGUGCAUGCUUAAGCCGAGGCUUCCAGAGAACAUCGAGCGGUAAAAAACCGGGCGGUUGUUAAGAGGGCCAACUUAGGCAGCAUUAAUGCAAAUGUCUGCUACUGCCUCAAGGCCUUGGGAAAAUGAUCAAACUCUCUGUUCCCAUUUCACUUCUGUUGCUGUGACCAAAAAAGCAAUUUAUGGAAGAAAGAGUUUAUUCAGCUUACAGCCCCAGGUUAGACCGUUACUUUAGGGAAGUCAAGGCAAGAACUUGAAGCAUUGUACCCACAGUCAAGAGCAGAAAGAAAAUAAACGCAUGGUUCUUGGCUUGCUAGUGAGCUUUCUCCUCUUCUCUUAGACUACUUACAACUCCAGUUUAGGCUGGGUCUUCCUGCAAGCAUGAUAAUCCCUGGCUGACAUGCCCACACACAAUCUGAUUUAGAUAAUUCCUCAUUAACACUUUCUUCCCAAGUGGCUGUAGGUUGAGUCAAGUUGACAGUAAAAGCUAACCAGCAUACCCUCUGGGUCUGCUUCUCCGGGUUUGGUGUUAUAGGGAUUUGGAAGAUCACAGGUGUAAUGUCUCUAAGCCUUCAGGAAGGUGACCCACAUAUAAAGGAUACAUAGAAUUCCAGGUCCAUCAUUGAACUUUCCCUGACCUUGGUUUCUGCCUCCAGUCACAGGGCUGGCUGCUUUGACAAGGGAAAGCUUCUGGGGUAGGUCAUAG